rnacentral:rRNA from 1 species
GGAAUAUUGCUCAAUGGGCGAAAUCCUGAAGCAGCAACGCCGCGUGGAGGAUGAAGGGUCUAUGACUUGUAAACUCCUGUAAAGAAGGCAAAAAUUCCCAUUUGAUGGGAGAUGAUGGUACUUCUGGAGUAAGCCCCGGCUAACUACGUGCCAGCAGCCGCGGUAAUACGUAGGGGGCAAGCGUUGUCCGGAUUUACUGGGUGUAAGGGUGCUCAGGCGGAUUUGUAAGUCAGAGGUGAAAUCUUACAGCUUAACUGUGAAACUGCCUUUGAUACUGCAAGCCUAGAGUAUGGAAGAGAGUGAUGGAAUAUCUGGUGUAGCAGUGAAAUGCGUAGAUAUCAGACAGAACACCAAUGGCGAAGGCAGUCACUUGGUCCAUUACUGACGCU